rnacentral:lncRNA from 1 species
AUGAGCACAUUUCAUAAAUUAUGUGUAGAAGUAUCGAAAUUCCAUUCUUGCUGCGAUUAGUAUCUUCCCUCAAAGGGAAAAAAAAAAAGUCAUUCCGAAAUGAUCUAUUAAUCUGCUAAUAAGGGUUUCGUAGCAGUUCUAUUUAUCACUUUCAAAUUUUUCCAGCUGAAAGACACGAAUUAACUGACUUGGAUAAUUCCUACUUGGAUAUUUACCAGCAGGAAAAAUCAAAAAACUUUGAUUCCAAUCACCCACAAGACACAGAACAUAAAAUUUAAACACCGUGUUUAAUUUACUGCUUCUGGCAUCGAAAGAAAGGAGAAUUACAGGGAGGAUGGUGGCUCGCUAUAAGCCAAACCAAAGGUGUUUUAAUGGAUGCCAUGGUGCUAUCACUGAUUACUUCAUGCACAGCUAAAGCAAUUCAAAUUAGUUCAUACUGCACCAGAAGAGAUCUGGAAAACUAAGGUUACAAGAUGGUGAUUGAAGAAGAUCCAAGUUAAAGAAAG